rnacentral:misc_RNA from 1 species
GAAACUUGAAGAAUGAAGCCUGACAUUGCCAAUAAACACUGAUCGCGAAUCCACUUCCUCUCUACUAGCUUGAGAUGUAGCAGCCGCAGGAUCUUGUGCAGAACUCAUCUCCUUCUCGACUUUGGCCUGCAUCUCCCGCAGAGCAGCAGCUUCAUCCUCCAUCUCCUUCAACCGCUUCUUCAUGUCAUCCAGCUCCUGAAAUCGAUUAAGGAGACAAAAUUGAAAGUACCCAGAUUAGGGAUUUCAAUAUAAAUCGAAACCCAGAAAGGAUUUAUGUAAAUUCAUUAAAGGGAAAAAUUUGCCAUUGAAUAUUAAACCAAGAAGGAUCCAACAAAGAAUGGAGGAAACAGGAGAGAGAGGCGUAUAGAAAUCACCGGUGCUGCUUCUUCGUUAUCUGUAGCAGCCAUUACCACAUCCUCUCUGUCCAUUCUCUUGCUCCCGCUGAUGAUACCAAGCAACAAUCGAAGAUCCUGUUGUUAUUAUUACGCGUAGAAUUGAUAUUUUUGGAUAUAAAUUACACAAUUUAUUCUCACAAUUUUUUUUAAUACAGCUUAGGUUAGAACAGAGCUUUAAAAUUUUCUAGGCAUUAAUUCUAGAAAAUGAUAAACUUUUUUUUUAAAUAAUUUUAUAUAUUUUUUGAAGGAAAUUUUUUUAUUUAAU